rnacentral:rRNA from 1 species
UUGGGGGCCCGCCCGGCGCACAUAUCAUAAGCGGAGGAAGCUAUCAAUAAGCGGAGGAGCAUAUCAAUAAGCGGAGGAACAUAUCAAUAAGCGGAGGAACAUAUCAAUAAGCGGAGGAACAUAUCAAUAAGCGGAGGAACAUAUCAGUAAGCGGAGGAAAAUAUCACUUAGGAGAAGAAGGGAUUUUAAUGAAAGGAAAUUUUUAUGAUGGAUCCGACUGGUAAUGCGGUCGUCUAAAUCUUAAAAACAACUUUUGGCAACGGAUCUCUUGGUUCUCCCAUCGAUGAAGAACGCAGCGAAUUGCGAUAAGUAAUGUGAAUUGCAGAAGUGAAUCAUCGAAUCUUUGAACGCACCUUGCGCUCCCGGCAGAUCUAAUCUGGGGAGCAUGCCUGUUUGAGGGCCGCGAAUUGUUUCGAACGACAGCUUUUUUCAGUAAGAGCUGGCGGAUCGGUAUUGAGGGUCUUUUUGCCAUUCACCGUGGCUCCCUCGAAAUGCAUUACCGCAUCCAUUUGAUAGGCGAAAGACGGACGAAAGCUCGAUUUUCGCCCUCUCUUCCCUGCCGGGUUUUGAUAAUAUCAGGACUUCUGAGGCGGACAAAGGGUUAGAGCUGGACCCAACGACUUUUGCUGGUUGGAGUGCUUCUGAACCCCGCCCUUUUUGUUUAGAAGAAGGGAUUUAUUUCAAUUCAUCGGCCUCAAAUUGGUAGGACUAC